rnacentral:misc_RNA from 2 species
AACGCACAUUGCGCCCCGUGGUAUUCCGCGGGGCAUGCCUGUUCGAGCGUCAUUAUGACCAAUCCCGUUCUGCGGGGUCUUGGGCACCGCCUCCGGGCGGGCCUCAAAACCAGUGGCGGUCCGGCCGGGCUCUGAGCGUAGUAAAUCUUCUCGCUAUAGGGUCCCAGGCGGCACUGGCCAGCAACCCCCAAUCUUUCACAGGUUGACCUCGGAUCAGGUAGGGAUACCCGCUGAACUUAA